rfam:Prunus persica cultivar Lovell chromosome G1, whole genome shotgun sequence.
CUUACAGAGUUUAUUGGCAUUCUGUCCACCUCCUCUCUUUUUCACUCCCUGUGUAUUAGAAGAUAGUACGUGUGGAGGUGGGCAUACUGCCAACUGAGCUCUGUUGG